rnacentral:lncRNA from 1 species
GUCCUCUCUCCUCUGUUUAUGAAAGUAGAAUAAAAGUAUAAUAAAAUCGUCUCUGGUGAGCUGCAGCUCUACCACUUUUCAGUUUCAAUCUUCUUCUUCUUUGUUUCUGCUAUUUGUUUCCAACAAGGUGCUGGUGUUGGCGUUGUUGGAUCUGCUGCUGGCAGGGGUUGCUGUGAUGUUGAGGAGCUGGUGGCUGAAGCUAAUGGAGGUUGUUUCGGACUGAGAAGAUGAAGAUCUUACAGUUGCUACUGGACGGAGAAGAGAUGCAACCAUCUGCUAGUGAUGGAAAUUUCUGCUGGACUGAAACUGACCCCAUGCUGGCGAUGGGAG